AGCUCAUCAACUAGCACUUCUGGUUCCCCUACUUUGAACCACACAAUUCUUUGUCAGGUUAUGACUGUCGACACCACAGGAUCAGAACUGCCAGAGUGAUCCUCCAGAAACACGAGCCAGAUCCUGCCGUGCCCCUGCUCUGAAACUUUAAUGGGUCCCCACUGUCUGUAGGGGAGCAUCUAAACAUGAGAGUAUGACGUUCAAGUACUACCUAAUUUUCAGGCCUCAUUUCCUACCUCCUUCUUUCCAAAUGUCCAUUUGGAUUGUAACAGGGCUAUUUAACAUUCUCCUAGGCCUACCAGAAAAUAUCAUAAUGGUCUCCAUGCUUUCAUCUUCUUUCUCAAUUUCCCUUACAACCUGUAAACAUGUCACUCAUCGCUAAAGAUUCAAUUCAAAGAUCCAGUUUUCUAUCAAAGUUUGCUUGCUUUCCCCAGUCAGAAACCCCUCACCCCUUCCUUGCAGGGCCAGAACAAAGAUCCUUAGUACCAGGAUUUCCUGUCUUGAAUGCUGGGCAACGGUCCCUGUCUGCCCACCCACACAACUGUGAGCUCCUUGAGGAUGGAGCCCUGCCAUGAUUCAUGCUCUACUCUCACGACAGUGAUGCAGGACGAUGUGUUAGCAGUUUCCUCUAAGACAGCAGACUUGGCCUAAAUAAAUAAAUAAAACGAUUCAAAAUAAGAUGAAGUAUUUAGACUCUUCUCCUAAUAAUGUCAUUCUCACACCUUUCCUAGCUCUCUUGAGUAGAAAAGGGUCAAGUUCAAGUUAGGAUGUGAGGAAUGAUGCAUAUCCAUGAGCUCUCUCACAGAUGUGUGUCUUGUGUAUUUUCGGAGAAAAAUAAAAAGCAUUGAGAAAUGCCACUCUCAGGGUUCCCAUCAUGGCACAGCAGAAACAUAUCUGACCAGGAACCAUGAGAUUACGGGUUCCAUCCCUGGCCUUGCUCAGUGGGCCAGGGAUCGGAUCUGCAACCUCAUGGUUCCUAGUCAGAUUCUUUUCUGCUGUGCCACGAUAGGAACACUUUUUUUUUCCAAGGCCAUAGGUGCCACAUGUGGAAGUUCUCAGGCUAGGGGUUAAAUUGGAGCUACAGCUGCUGACCUACGCCACAGCCACAGCAAUGCUGGAUCCGAGCCUCAUCUGCAAUCUACACCACAGCUCAUGGCAAUGCCAGAUCCUUAACCCACUGAGAGAGGUCAGGAAUCCAACCUGCAUCCUCUUGGAUACUAGUUGGAUUCGUUUCCACUGAGCCACAACAGAAACUGUCCACACUGUCAUUUUGAAAUUAAAAGAGGUAUUUCCCAUUGUGGCUCAGCAUAAACAAAUCCAACUAGUGUCCACGAGGGUGUGGGUUUGAUCACUGGCCGCGCUUAGUGGGUGGGGGAUUUGGCAUCACUGUGAGCUGUGGUGUAGGCUGCAGAGCUGGAUCCCGAAUUGCUGUGGCUGGGGUGUAGGCUAGCAACUGCAGCUCUGAUUUGACCCCUAGCCUGGGAACUUCCAUAUGCCAUGGGUGCGGCCCUAAAAAGCCAAAANAAAAAAAAAAAGAGAGAGAGAGCCAAUGACCAAAUGCCUUUCACUCACUGAAGGCUUUCUAUGAACCAGGCAUUUGGGGGGGUGGCUGGAGGGGUUAAAAUUUUAUGACAACACUAGAAUCUUUAACCCCCUGCACUGUGCCAGGGAUUAAAUUGGCACCUGCACAGUGACCUGAGCCAUUGCAGUCAGAUUCUUAACCCACUGUGCCACAGCGGGAACUCCAGAUCAGGUGUUUUUUCAAGUGCAUCAUCUAAGUUUUAGGUAUCCCUACAAAAUAAGCAGUCACAUCCCUAUUUUACAGAUAAAGAGAACCUCAGAGAGGCUAAUGCAUGUCCCCAUGCGUAAUGGCCAGGAAGUUACAGAGUCAAGAUUGCAACUCAGGAACGCCUGACACCAAGGCCCAUGGAUUUUUCUCCUAUGACCCCAGUCUUAGUCCUGUUGGGCUGCUCCAACAAAAUACCACAGACUGAACAGCUCAUAGACCACACAUUUUUCACAGUCCUGAAGGCUGGAAGUCCCCGAUCAGGGUGCAAGUGUGGUUGGGAGGGCCCCUCUUCAGGGCCGCAGACUUCUCAUGUCUACACAUGGUGGAAGGGGCUAGGGAGCUUUCUGGAACCCCUUUUAUAAGGGCACCGAUCCUAUUCGUGAUGGGGAACCAUCUUGACUUAAGCAUCUCCCAAAGGCCCCACCAUUAAUACCAUUAACUUUGGAGGUUAUAAUUUCAACAUGUGAAUUGGGGAGACACAACCAUUCAGACCAUAGCAUCCUCUAAACCUCUAAGGGCCCAGAUCUUACAUUCAUAGCCUCUGUGAUCCUACAAAACCCAAGAGCUUUGGUGAAAGUUUAAAAAAAAAGGCAGCAGUUAGGGAAGUACCUCCUUUGUCUGAGCAAGGCACCUUCAUAGCUUUUUUCCAUCCUCUACUCACAGCCAAGUUUCUUCUCCCCAGAGCAGUACUUUACCCAAAAAUAACUUCAUGACAGGCUAAAAUAGAAAAAGGAGUACAGAUAAAAUGUGGCAAGUUGCCCAAAAGGAUUUCCUGCUGGACGCAAACUCUCCAAGGCAGUGAAUUUUCCUUCAGGUAAAAUACAAAAACGUGUAAAGUUAAGGAAAAGAGGGGGGGAACAGGGUGGGAGGCCUGCUUUGCUGCACCACACAGGCCCAGGUAAGUACUACCUGCUCUUGAAUAAGAACAUCACCGUUUUUGCUAAGCAGUUUUCCCCUAGUCAACCAAAAAGUAUCAAUCCUCUUGAUAAUCUGUAUGGAAGAAAAUAAAAUUGCCUAGAAGGCCAUCAGAGCAGUGGCUGCCCUGGUGGUCCACACCUGCCAGAAUGAAGACCUCAUCCCAUCCUUUGUAUAUUCCUUUUUUUUUUUUAGGGCCGCACCUAUGGCCCGUGGAGGCUCCCAGGCUAGGGGUUGAAUCAGAGCUGUAGAUGCCAGCCUAUACCAGAGCCACAGCAAUGCUGGAUUCAAGCCGCGUCUGCAACCCACACCACAGCCCGCGGCAACACCAGAGCCUCAACCCACCAAGCGAGGCCAGGGAUUGAACCCGCAACCCCAUGGCUCCUAGUCAGAUUCAUUAACCACUGGGCCACGAUGGGAACUCCACUCCCUUGUAUAUUCUUACAGCCAACAGUGGCUGAACACCUACAAUGCAAAAAGCAUCUGCUAGAGGCUGAGAAUAAAGAUGAAAAUAAUUUGCAACUCCUUCCCCAGAUAGUUCACUCCAGCCCGGAAGUCAGACAAGCAAGCAUACAGUUAACUAUAGCUGGAUAAAUCAUAAAUGAAGGGAUUGUGGAAAAAGAGUUGAAACAAGAAGGAAACACCCAACACAGUGUGGGGAAAGGGCUUCUUAAGCUGAGUUUGAAAUAACAAGUAGGUGUUUAUCAGAGGUGUGAGAACCAGGAAAAUAUCUCUAGCAGGGAGAACAGGGUGUGCAAGGAUAUGCAAAUCAGGAUAUGCAAAUCAGGAACCAGGGAGAAAAUGACUCCAAAUGUGAAAGGAUGGGGUGGGGAGGAGGUCAGAUCUGUUAGGUGAACAGAGGGUAAAAUUGUACACUUCAGCUUCCCCUUAUGGGUCAGCAGGUUAAAAACCUGAUGCAGUGUCCAUGAGAAUAUGGGUUCAAUCCCUGGCCUUGUUCAGUGGGUGAAGAAUCUGGCAUUGCCACAAGUUGUAGUGCAGGUCGUGAAUGCAGCUUGGACCUGGCAUGGCUGUGGCUGAGGCUGAGGCUGUGGCUGUGGCUGUGUUGUAGGCUGGCAGUGGCAGCUCCGAUUUGACCCCUCGUCUGGGAACUUCCAUAUGCCGCAGGUGUGGCCGUAAAAAGACAAAAAAAAAUCAGUACUUUGCUGCCCAUUCCCAUGUUAACCAGUGACACACUUAAGAGGGCAUGCGUGGGAAGGGAAAUUCUUAUAAGCUCAGAGAGACAAACUAUACACCACAUUGUGUGAGGGAUCCAGGGAUGUGCAUUAUCCCUGGAUCUCUUCCGUGUAUGUGAGGGGCUAAUUCUUGGUAGGUAUUUGCCUAACGAGAUGUGUGAGUCCACCACAGCCUCGUCAGAGAGAAAUGUGAGGGACAUGCUACACUGAAUCUAUCUCCCAAACAAAGCCGUCCAUAGUGGGAUGGGGAAGCAAGUCUGAACAAUGCCAUGGCCAACUGCCCCAUCAGGCACGAGACUUCCUCUUUCAGAGCUCCUGGCUCUUCUAAGUACUACCCGGGCACCUCAGGAAAUGGAUGAAAAUCUCUGCCUCUCAGUAUCCUCAUCUGUAACAUGGGGAGAAUGAUGCUUAUGGCACAGAGUUAAUAUAACAGGGUUAUGUUAAUGUCUGUUACAGUAUCUGAUGUUUCCUUGUUAUAUUUAUUAGUUUCCAUUCUCUUCUCCUUCAUUAAAUCAACAGUCACAACAAUGGUCAUGAAAGAUACCACUGCCAAUUUCUCCUAUUAUUUUUAACAAAUGAUCCACAGCAUAUGUGCCAUAGAUUGAAGAUUUAAAGGCACAUUAACUUCUGUUGGCUGAUGUGGUGAUCUCAGUAACCUUCAGAGUUAGAUAAGAGGAGUGAUGUCAGGGAUACAGUGAGGAAGCAUGUGACCUGCCCAGAUUCAUAUGGUUGUCACGUGACAGAAGGUAAGCUCACAGGCUCAUUCUUUAUCUCCAAAGCCCAGUUCCUUUAACUGCACAGCAUUGCAUCUGUGAGUACUUGUCUAGAAAAACCAAGAACACUAAUGUGGCAGCCAUCAGCAACAAAGCUCACUUUACUAAAUGUAAUAUCCGUAAGGGGCCCUUGUGAGUUAUAGAAGCUUCUCCUGUGGCAUGACAAGUAUCUUUGCCAAAGUUCAUGGGUUCGGCUAAAGAUUUGAAAGACAAAGACCAGGUCUUAUUAGUGCCUCCAGCCUCAAGUGUUUGCUGCCAUCCUGUCAUACCAGACAAACUCAAUACCUUUUUGCUGGAUGAAUGGAUGGAUUUUGUAGGCAGUUAAUGAUUUACAAACUAUUUCUACAUCCUUCGUCUUACUUGAUUUUUUCCAAAGCUCUGGAACAUAAAGAAAAGCUGAUAUCAUUUUCUACAUUUAACACAUGAUGAUAUGCAGGUCACACCCAGGUUGCUGUUUUUGUCUUUCUUUGAAGGAUUACAAUGGAUUCAUGCUCCCUCCUGGAGCAGAACUCAGCUGAAUCCCACAUGCAGCUGUUGCCCUGCCACACAAGGCUGCUUAAAAGCCAGGACAGACACUGUUUUGUUAUUAUCUCUCAUAUCUUACAAAAUACAUUAAAUUCUGAAAAUCUCUGUGAUAAUUAAACUAAAAAAAAAAAAAAGAGCUGAAGCUGAACCAUUCAACCUAGAAUAACUAUUACAUUCCUAUUCUUUCCCUUUCUCACCUCCUUUUGGUCUCCAUUGUCUAUAGCAUGGGGUAUUCUUCUUCCUCCACAAAAAGAAUCCACUUCCUACAGAAUAGAGUUGUCAGAAUUGUGUGAACCUUGCUUUCUGUGUUAACCCUUCUGUUGGGUUUUAUAGCACACAUUUUUCCUGAAUGGUUUCCACCAUCAGUCUCAGCACUCUGAGAGCUCAUCCCAAAAGUGGUUUUGCUUUUUAGGGCCACAUCUGCAGCACAUGGAAGUUUCCAGGCUAGAGGUUGAAUUGGAGCUGCAGCUGCUGGCCUAUACCUUAGCCACAGCAACUCAGAAUCCAAACACAUCUGUGACCUACACCACAGCUCAUGGCAAUGCUGGAUCUUUAACCCACUGAGUGAGGCCAGGGAUUGAAUCCAUAUCCUCACGGAUCCUAGUCAGGUUCUUGACCCACUGACCUCAAUAGGAACUCCAAAAGUGGAGUCUUAUGAUGCCACAGCCUUAUACCAGGUCCAUUGGAGUCACCCAACAAAGCUGCACAGAUUGCUUAAUGUGGUUCUCAGGGUAUCCCAAAUUCAUAUCCUACUUAUCUUUGCAGCCCAUCUCCCACAUUUCCUCUCCAUAGGCUCUGCACUCUACCAGACCAAGAUAGUCAAAGACCCCCUAAAUAACUUCUCUGCAUUUCCACACACCAUCCCCGUCCCAUCACCACUACCAAGGAUGAAGCCUCCACUUCUAAAACCCCUCCGCAUCCUUCAAGGGCUUUCCCUUGAAACCAUCCCUCAUUUCCUUCAGCAAUUCACUCAACAAACAGUUUUUAAAAAAACCCCUUUACGCCCUAAAAAAGUUAUUCUUGAGGAGCUUAAUAUUUACCGAGCAAAAGAGACUCAGCGAAGAGAAACUCAACUCAUGAGGAUGCUGUAAUGAUAGCAUUGCAAAAGCAAUGGGUCAGCCGCUGGAGAGAAUUUGGGAGCCUCCAUCCAGACCUUGCUGAGACUGCUAG
rnacentral:lncRNA from 1 species